UACGGGGGGGCAAGCGUUGUUCGGAAUUACUGGGCGUAAAGGGCGCGUAGGCGGCCUGCUAAGUCGAACGUGAAAUCCCCGGGCUCAACCCGGGAACUGCGUCCGAUACUGGCAGGCUUGAAUCCGGGAGAGGGAUGCGGAAUUCCAGGUGUAGCGGUGAAAUGCGUAGAUAUCUGGAGGAACACCGGUGGCGAAGGCGGCAUCCUGGACCGGCAUUGACGCUGAGGCGCGAAAGCCAGGGGAGCAAACGGGG
rnacentral:rRNA from 1 species